rnacentral:rRNA from 1 species
AGCGAACGCUGGCGGCAGGCCUAACACAUGCAAGUCGAACGAACCUUUCGGGGUUAGUGGCGGACGGGUGAGUAACACGUGGGAACGUGCCUUUAGGUUCGGAAUAACUCAGGGAAACUUGUGCUAAUACCGAAUGUGCCCUUCGGGGGAAAGAUUUAUCGCCUUUAGAGCGGCCCGCGUCUGAUUAGCUAGUUGGUUGAGGUAAUGGCUCACCAAGGCGACGAUCAGUAGCUGGUCUGAGAGGAUGAUCAGCCACAUUGGGACUGAGACACGGCCCAAACUCCUACGGGAGGCAGCAGUGGGGAAUCUUGCGCAAGGGGCGAAAGCCUGACGCAGCCAUGCCGCGUGAAUGAUGAAGGUCUUAGGAUUGUAAAAUUCUUUCAGCGGGGACGAUAAUGACGGUACCCGGAGAAGAAGCCCCGGCUAACUUCGUG